rnacentral:tRNA from 234 species
GCUGCCGUAGCUCAGUGGUAGAGCACUCCAUUGGUAAUGGAGAGGUCGACAGUUCAAUCCUGUCUGGCAGCACCA